rnacentral:lncRNA from 1 species
CAAAUUCUAGCUCACCAAUCUUUGCGUAUCUGGGAGCAGAACAGCCUAUAACAAAUGAUCUAGUUGUUGCUGGAUUGCUCAAUGACAAUGCACCUGAAUUCAAAGCACUAAUAGUAUUCAUAGAGGUAUAUCAAACAGACUAUCAGAUGGACAUAAACCCUUAGUUUCUUAAUCAGAUGGACAUAAACCCUUACUUUUUCUUUAUAAAAAUUUAUUUGUCUAACAGUGAUGACACAUUGAAUGUUACUCGAUUACAUAUUUCUUAUAUUGUCCAGCACCGUUACUAUGGAGAAUCAGCCCCAUUUGGAUCAUUAGAUAAUGCAUUUGAUAGCGCGAAUACCCUUGGAUACUUUACCUCCACUCAAGCACUAGCUGAUUAUGCUGAAGUGCUCGUGAGUCUGAAGAAAAAUCUAUCAGAAGAAAAAUUAAUAGCGCAGACAUGAACACGACUGGAGUGCGUAGGACCAUUUAGGGUCUCUAUUCUUUUUCAUGUUCCCACUGUUAUCUCAUCCUAUAUGCCAAGGUUGACUCAAAAAGAAGCUCCAAUUUGAGAUGGGUUUUUUGCUUAAUGUUUACCCUGCAUCAUGUGUAAGUAAAAUCUCCAGGUUCUGGGCACAGACUUGGCUUGCACUUAAAGAGUGACCCAGCUAGUGACUGGGGUCCUAUGACUUGAUCAAGAGAUGAUGAUUACUAGCUAGAAGAACAUUUAAGCAUCAUGAACAUGCCAUGAACGAAUACUGUACUAAAGUAUAUGAAAGCGGAAACGUGGAGAGUUGGAGGUCCAUUUAAGCAAUGUUCUUCCUGUUCGCCACUGUUUUAUCAAAUAGACCCCCUAAAUUACAUGUCUAAACCACUUUUUUUCUUCCCUUCAUGUUUAUUGUAUAGUGUAAAAACAUUGAGGUCAAUUAUAGCAAUUGUCGACCACUUGGGAUUGAAGUCUACAAGUUAUAUCUAUUGAGUUGGGCAUGCUUAACCAAGAUCACAAAUGAUGGUAUUUGCUUAUAUAACCACGAUUAUAUAACCAUAUCCACAAUUGUCGAGCACUUGGGAUUGAAGUCUACAUGUUAUAAUUAAUCUACUUUAAGAACAUAUAUUAACUUAAUUUCCAUCAUAAUCCAGCAAGGUCAUAUGUUAAGUAGAUGUGGUACAUAAUCAUGGGCUGUUUCGACCCUAGAUCAUCUUCACUUAAAUCAGUCUUGAAAUCUUUUGGCUGUACCGCAUCGAAAAUAAAAGACCUCACCAUACCAUACUACGGAAUGAGUUGCUCCUGCAGUCAAGCUUCGUAGGACUACACUUGAUGCGAGGUUUUGAGCCUCGACCGACAUAGAACUCAAAAGUGUUGUUGCCAUGUGAAAUAGACACUCCAGCAGGAGAGUGGACUACUCCACCGAUCAAUCCAAAGCAAAGGUCGGGACGAUGUAACACAUAGCGACAACACUUUUGAGAGGAGUAGGGUGAGCAGAACUGCACCAGAUGCCGUACACUUGAGUGGCAAAGGAUCAAGACAAUCAGGCCCCCUACAUUCUGUUAAAUAUGCGGUGUAACUUCCCGGCUAAUGACUCGCAUAAACCAGAAUUUAACUUGGAAAAGCUUGGUAGGGCCCUGGAUACACCAAGAUUAAAUUGGCCAUUUUACAUUCCAUACUUUUGUCUAUAUAUGAUGCAUUUAUGCUUCAUUUUUUUAGUGCCCAGAAUCACAAAACAUCUGAAGGUUACUACAUAGCUUGGUGAAUUCACGCUACCAUGAGUCCCAAGCUUUUUCCACCUAGCCUUCCCUGCCUGUUCAUACACUUCCUCGCAUGUGUGUCUGCGAGUGAAAUGCCAAGGCUCAGUAUUAGUGGGCGACCCAACUGGAAAAAUCUCAAAGCCAAAUCUAAUUCCCCUGCUUUGAAUGAUCUCAAGGAAGUCUACUAUACACAAACACUAGACCACUUCAACUAUCGGCCAGAUAGCUAUAAAACAUUCAAGCAGAGGUACUUUAUCAACACUAAAUAUUGGGGUGGAGCAAAUUCUAGCUCACCAAUCUUUGCGUAUCUGGGAGCAGAACAGCCUAUAACAAAUGAUCUAGUUGUUGCUGGAUUUCUCAAUGACAAUGCACCUGACUUCAAAGCACUUAUAGUAUUCAUAGAGGUAUAUUGAACAGACUAUUAAACUUAACUAUCUUAAUUAGAAGGAUAUAAACCCUUACUUUUAUCUUUAUAAGAAUUUAUCUAACAGUGAUGACACGUUGAAUGUUACUCGAUUACAUAUUUCUUAUCUUGUGCAGCACCGUUACUAUGGAGAAUCAGUCCCAUUUGGAUCGUUAGAUAAUGCAUUUCAUAGCACGAAUACCCUUGGAUACUUUACCUCCACUCAAGCACUAGCUGAUUAUGCUGAAGUGCUCAUGAGUCUGAAG